rnacentral:piRNA from 1 species
UAUGUUAUUAUCAUGCGACAGUAAAUGCUA